AGAGUUUGAUCAUGGCUCAGGAUGAACGCUGGCGGCGUGCUAAUACAUGCAAGUCGAGCGAACCACUUCGGUGGUGAGCGGCGAACGGGUGAGUAACACGUAGGUGAUCUGCCCAUCAGACGGGGACAACGAUUGGAAACGAUCGCUAAUACCGGAUAGGACGAAAGUUUAGAGGUGCUUCUGGCACCGCUGAUGGAUGAGCCUGCGGCGCAUUAGCUAGUUGGUAGGGUAAAGGCCUACCAAGGCGACGAUGCGUAGCCGACCUGAGAGGGUGAACGGCCACACUGGGACUGAGACACGGCCCAGACUCCUACGGGAGGCAGCAGUAGGGAAUCUUCGGCAAUGGGCGAAAGCCUGACCGAGCAACGCCGCGUGAAUGAUGAAGGCCUUCGGGUUGUAAAAUUCUGUUAUAAGGGAAGAACGACUUUAGUAGGAAAUGGCUAGAGUGUGACGGUACCUUAUGAGAAAGCCACGGCUAACUACGUGCCGGCAGCCGCGGUAAUACGUAGGUGGCGAGCGUUAUCCGGAAUUAUUGGGCGUAAAGAGCGCGCAGGUGGUUGAUUAAGUCUGAUGUGAAAGCCCACGGCUUAACCGUGGAGGGUCAUUGGAAACUGGUCGACUUGAGUGCAGAAGAGGGAAGUGGAAUUCCAUGUGUAGCGGUGAAAUGCGUAGAGAUAUGGAGGAACACCAGUGGCGAAGGCGGCUUCCUGGUCUGUAACUGACACUGAGGCGCGAAAGCGUGGGGAGCAAACAGGAUUAGAUACCCUGGUAGUCCACGCCGUAAACGAUGAGUGCUAAGUGUUGGGGGUCGAACCUCAGUGCUGAAGUUAACGCACUAAGCACUCCGCCUGGGGAGUACGGUCGCAAGACUGAAACUCAAAUGAAUUGACGG
rnacentral:rRNA from 1 species